UUAGGACACCUUUUCAAAAAGGCUUUUCUGUGGUGUUCAGAAUCAUUUCUAGAAAUUGAAACCUCAGACUUUCCAAGAUGUACCUCAGUGCUGCAUAUCACCGCAUACCUCUAAGUGAUGGAAACAGCAUUCCUAUCAUCGGUCUUGGUACCUACUCAGAACCUAGAUUGACCCCUAAGGGGACCUGUGCAAGAUCAGUGAAAAUUGCCAUUGACACGGGGUACCGGCACAUUGAUGGCGCCUACCUCUACCAGAACGAGCACGAAGUGGGGGAGGCCAUCAGGGAGAAGAUAGCAGAAGGAAAGGUGCAGAGGCAGGAUAUCUUCUACUGCGGAAAGCUGUGGGCUACACAUCAUGACCCACAGAUGGUCCGCCCAACUCUGGAGAGGACGCUCAGGGACCUCCAGCUAGAUUAUGUGGAUCUUUACAUCAUUGAAAUACCUAUGGCUUUUAAGCCUGGAGAUGAAUUCUAUCCUAAAGAUGAAAAUGGCAAAUGGUUAUAUCACAAGUCAAAUCUGUGUGCCACUUGGGAGGCUUUAGAAGCUUGCAAAGAUGCUGGCUUGGUGAAAUCCCUCGGUGUAUCCAAUUUUAACCGUAGGCAGCUGGAGCUUAUUCUGAACAAACCAGGACUUAAGCAUAAGCCAGUCAGCAACCAGGUUGAAUGCCAUCCAUAUUUCACCCAGCCAAAACUCUUGAAAUUUUGCCAACAACAUGACAUUGUCAUUAUUGCAUACAGCCCUUUGGGGACCUCUAGGAAUCCAUCCUGGGUGAAUGUGUCUUCCCCACCUUUGUUAAAGGAUGCACUUCUAAACUCACUGGGGAAAAAAUACAAUAAGACAGCAGCUCAAGUUGUUUUGCGUUUCAACAUCCAGCGAGGAGUGGUUGUCAUUCCUAAAAGCUUUAACCCUGAAAGGAUCAAAGAAAACUUUCAAAUCUUUGACUUUUCUCUCACUGAAGAAGAAAUGAAGGACAUUGAAGACCUGAAUAAAAAUGUCCGCUUCGUGGAAAUGCUCAUGUGGUGUGACCAUCCUGAAUACCCAUUUCAUGAUGAAUACUGACUUCAGAGAGCUCUGCAACAGAUAUUUUCCCUCUAUAUGUGCCAGGACUUUGGGCUGGGUGGUUCCUCCAGCUAUGGAAAUCAAAGGAGUUUACUAUCCUCAGAUGAAAUGGUGAUGGAGACACACUUAACUUUUGUGUAGUAGGCCUCUAAUGGAAUAUGGAGUAAGAUACAUCAGUAGUUACAUAACCUGCCUGGAAAAGGAGAGGAGGCCAACAGCGUACCCACUGAUCCAUAAAAACACAUGGACCAGAAGAGCAAGGACUUUCUGCCCCAGCCCGCAGAAUGUUUUUUGUUUGCCCAUCACUGACUAUUCUCCUUGGAAGACCUCCCUCAGGCACUGUCUUCCAUAAUGACACAGAGAUUAUUGGAAGAGGCCACAAGAGGCACAUAGGCACCAAUCCCAAGUCUGCAGGCUUCAACACUGCGACGUGCUGCACACUUCAUGACCACAGUUAUGGAAAUGUAAAAAGUUGAGGCGGAUUCUUAACCACUGCACCACCAGCGAAACCUGCCAUGUUUGUUCUUCAGGCUGAAACCUACUUCUUUCUAAUCAAAGUGAAUACUGUUCCAGAAGAGAGCAGGUAACUCAAUAUUGAGACUGGAGAAACAGAUCACAACCUGGGAAACUUCAAAAAAACACACAAAAGGUAGGAUUUAAAAAAGAAAAGAGCAAAGCUGAUUUUGGCAUUUACUUCCAGGAUAAAGCUAUGGAAUGGGGGAGGCGGAAAAGAAGUGACAAUAGCGGGAGGAUUAAAGGCUACCCUUGGCCAUAUGAGAACCAGUGUAUUAUAACUGAAGCAGAACAGAUUUUACCACCUUAAAAUACUCCACAUUGGCAUAAGAAUUAUUUUGUGCUGAAGACAAUUGUGAAGAAACAGAUAUAAGAAAUCUGUCUUCCCCCGAUUUGCCUAAAAGGAGGAAAUAAACUUACAAAGUGUCCCUCCUCCCUCUCUACCAGGAAGGACAAUAGUUCAACUGCUAGAGACAACUUUAGAUCCUUAUCAGUCUGGAGAUGGCACCAGAGGAAUUUACAUAACAAACUUUGCUAACUAGACCUUAUCUUCUCUUAGUCUCCCAUAUAUUUGUCCUCCCACGAUUUGCUGCCCCUAGACUCAAAGUCCUUUUCUUUUGUCUUGUCACUUAUCAAAAAAUGUAUUGCUCCUUUGUUAAGAAGUUAUGUAAGACCUAGUUCUAACCAAGCCUUUGAGUUACUCAUCUCUGGGAACUCCCAUGUGUAACAUGCAUGAAUACACGUUUGUAAACUUCUGUUUGUUUUUCUCUUGUUAAUCUGUCUUUUGUCAGUCCAAUCUACAGGGCUCCAGCUGGAGAACCUAAGAUGGGUAGAGGAAGAGAUUCGUCCUCACCUAUAAGACUAUGUCAGGUAGAAGCUCGUAGUUUCCUUUUAAUAAGGGAGGCAAAGAAGCCAAUGACAUGAGCAAUCAUCAUGGAAACCAUAAGACCGGUUGUCUCCUCUUGCCAACUCCAUCUGCCUUCUGGGCAAGAAGCCUCUGAAGGAAAAGUUAAACUCUAAGGUGAACUAUGGAAAACUGAGGAACAAGAGCAGAACACAGUCUACACCAGCCAACUCCAAAGAAGACAGCAACAGGGCUUUGCCUAAAACGGCCUUGAGCAAUUGGUAGUCUAGGAGGCAGAACCAUGUAGCUACGAGGCUCCAAAUGCACUGCUGAUAUUCAGAAUUCCAGGAGCAUUCUUCAGAGGUGUGUGGCAUGAAAAGGACGGCCCAUAUACACAGGUGUCAUUAGUCACAGCUGCACCUAUUAGCACCAUCAAUUUCCACCUCUAUUCCCAGGCUUUUUAAACUGGAAACUGCAUUUUGACCAGGUGGUAGACCCUGCCAGGAACGCCUCACACGUAUUUCCUUUGGGGUAAGCCCCUAAACACGGGUUUUUAACUGAGUAAUGUUAAAGAACAGGACUGUGCUAAUACCUAAGGAUCUUGCACGUAUCCACACAGGCACUUCGGCAAAGCUUUAUCUGCAGCUGAUCUGAGUCUUGGCCGAACAUCCUGGGUCCUCUGAAAACAAGAGUGUGCUAGAGGCGUGUGAGGAGCUGCUACCAGGCCGUUUCUCACUCAGUUCCCUAUCUGCCAAGAAAGAGGCCACAGUGAGGCAGUUUCUCAUCUUCUGCCAGGUUUUGAUGAGGCCUGAGGCCUCUGACUCACCCCUUGGGGUCCAGCUGCAGACUAAAGUACCUUGGCAGCAACAUAGCAGUGGCCCUUCAGCAACAGGAUAGACCAUCAUUCAUGUUGUAAUCAUCUGGACCCUUUUGUUUUGGUGUUGCCCUACUCCAGAGACUAAAGGGAGGAGAUUGCCAUCAUCAUAGGGACAUAGAAACUGGACAAAAAAAAAAAAAAAACAGCGAGAUUAU